CUCGGAGACAUACAAAAGUCGAUGGUUUGCCUUUGAUUCUUUGAAGUUCUUGGACAACCGUAACAAACCGAGAAAGAGAACGAACACGGAGGCGGUUCAACAACCGAUUAAUGAAGAAAAUCUGCAGAACGAAUUUGCUACUCCACGUACACGGUAUGAACCUACGCGAGCUAAACAAGCAAAAAAAGAUGAAAGCAGCAGUGUACUGGCCGAUGUAGUGGGCAUAUUACAAACUACUGCCAAUAAGUUGGGAAAUUCAGGCGCUCCAGAUUUAACUACAACUUUCGCUUCCUAUAUAUCAGCUAAAAUGAAUACUUAUUCCCUUCAAACCAGGAAUUCGGUCGAACAUGGAAUUUUUGAAAUUUUGAUGAAGGCUGACAGAGGUUAUUAUGAAUCAUCAUAUCGACAGCAGGAUAACUACCCCAGUUCAUACCAAGAAUCCUAUUAUGCAUCACAGAAGAAAGGACAAGAUUAUGUGGAUCUGACCGGAUAUGUUAAUCGUCCUGGAACUUCCGGAUUUAAUCGUCCCUCGCCUUCCGCGCAAACUCCAGAUACAAAUCAAGCCGGACGCUAUGGCUAUACCACGGCAAGGAACGAAGAAUAUAUGAACCAACAGCCAUCGUCUGUAACGUCACUAGAAUCUAACCAAUCCUAUGACGACUUUAAUGAUUUGAUGUGAUAAUACUGUUCUUUAAUUGACUUAUUAAGAAUAAAACUUACCUUGAUAUAA